GCUGCAAGGUAAUCGUAACCUUUCUGAAGAGGAAAAGGAGGAAGUCACCAGACUCGCUGUGUCAUGGGACCUUCCUGGGUUUUCUGAACAACACCGGAAAUGGCUGUUCAAUAGGUUACUGCAACAUGCUGUUUUGGAUAGGACUAAAUGUCAAGUAAAGCAGCUGAGACGUGGAAUAAAAGAAACUAAGAUUUGGUCAUUGAUUACAGCGCGAGAAGAUGCAAUUAAAACUGUCUUCCCAAGGGCAAGUGAAGUUCAGUAUGGCUCAGAGGUCAUUCUUCAACACAUUACUUGGCCUGUUGCCAAUUCUGAUGACGACAAUGACGGUUUGCGUCCUGAGAUUGUCACUCGUCAAAUUACAUUUCUUCGUGAAUAUAUUCAAACGG